CAAGAUGCUCUUGGUGCAUCAACAGAAGAUCAGAAGUGGACCAUGCUUAUCUUGAUGCUACAGGGAACAAUGGUACAGUUGCCCCAUCCACUGUCAUCUCUGAACAUGCUGAAGGGCUGCCUGAAGCCAGGAACUUUCAGCGUUUAACAGAGGAGCAAGGCCAACUCCUAAGAAAAUGUCGAAGUGUUCAACAUUACUAUGAGACGGGAACUGAAGAUGAUAGACUGUAUUAAUUCAAUCAAAAGCCACAAGUGUUUGUAUUCUCUGAAGUGGAAUUAAAUAAAAAGCACAUUACACAGUUGGAUAACGACAGAUUGCACACUGAAACAAUAAUAAGUGUUCAAAGUGCUAGUACAUCUUGUACAUAGUGUCAAGGUGUCCAAGCAUGUCUCUGUAAGCCAAUGGUUCACUGCAUAUGAGGUUAUUUUAUAUCUUACAGUGGAUUGCAGCAAAAGGCCAGAGGAAAAUAUGUUUUGAUACUCAUCCGUAUUUUGAAGAAGAAAAAUGGGGCUGAAUGGCAUGUUUAUUUUUUUUUAUUUGACGGGCGGGCUGGGAUGAGAAUCUAAAAUAUUUUUUCUCUGGCUUAAGGCUUUAUUCUUAGUAUGUAUCUAUUAUGUCAUCAUGAUGAAGUCAUCGUUACUAUUCUACAUUGUUAAAAAUUAGAUUCAAUCAUUUUUAGAUUUCCGGAGGUUUUGAAGAGCAUAUUUUUAACAGCCAAUGGGAUCAUAAGCACAUUUCGAGUGUUACAUGACCCAGCCUUUUUAUCAAAAGUUGCUCAGAGUUCAUUUUUGUGUGUCAGAGUAAUAGGCCUUGGAAACUUCAAAAUGGCUGAAAAGGCUUGUCCAAGCACUUUAUUUUCGCUUGCACUGUUUAUCAUCUAGGUUAAUAAAUAUAAUUUCAGUUGAUUUGCAGAAAGUUUACCAGGAUAAGAAUUUGUCGAUUGUUUCUAUACAAUAAUAAUUUCAAUAAUUAACUUUAUUUUCAAACAGUUUUGACACAAUGACCACAAUGAAUUUAUAUUUUGUCACAACUAAAACUGGGACCAAGGUCUACUGCAUUGUAAAUGAAAAAUAGAAUUUAACAAAAUGGGUAUGUCAUGUACAACACUGAUACAAUGUUCUCAGUAGUGGUGACAUUAUGUCAUAAUAAUUUUUGUCACAAAUAGAUUUUUAGAGUUGCCGAUUGUUUUAUUCAAACAGUAAUUUCUCAUUUGAAUUUUAUGGAGAAGUGUAUUUUAUACACAUUCACAGUUAAUGUGUAAUUUCAUGGUGUCAGUCAUUGGUUUGCAGUUCAUGUUACUUUGUAGUUUCUCACUUGUAUUUUGUGACAUAUUCUUGACAUGUAAAGAUGGCAAAUGUAUGUGAUGAAUGUGAGAGAUUAACAUUGUUCAUUGCACAAUGUAUUCACAUAUGUGCUUGUUAACCUCGUUCACUAUUUUAUUUCCCUCUGCAUGUAACCAAAAAUGACUUGUAUAUAAAAUGUCUAUGAUUUAUUUAAAAUUC